rnacentral:rRNA from 1 species
UACGUAGGGUGCGAGCGUUAAUCGGAAUUACUGGGCGUAAAGCGUGCGUAGGCGGUUCGUUAAGUGCGUCGUGAAAGCCCCGGGCUCAACCUGGGAACUGCAUUUGUGACUGCAUAGCUAGAGUACGGUAGAGGGGGAUGGAAUUCCGCGUGUAGCAGUGAAAUGCGUAGAUAUGCGGAGGAACACCGAUGGCGAAGGCAAUCCCCUGGACCUGUACUGACGCUCAUGCACGAAAGGCGUGGGGAGCAAACAGG